GUAUAUCAGAUUCUCAUCCAAGUCAGUGGCUCCAAACAAUGAAGGAAGAAUCUCGAUUUAAUGUUCUCUUUAUUUUUGAGAGACAGAGAGUGAGCAGGGGUGGGGCAGAGAGAGAGGGAGACAGAGGAUCUGAAGCAGGCUCCGCGCUGACAGCCACAAGCCCGAUGCGGGGCUCGAACUCACCAACUGAGAGAUCAUGACCUGAGCCGAAAUGGGACGCUCAACCGACUGAGACACCCGGGCGCCCCAAGAAUCUCGAUUUAAAGGAGCAGUGGGUGACAGAAAUCCCAAGAAGGACACUGAGGAGGCCUCGGGGGCUUCCUCAAGUGAAAUGAGGGGGUCGGAUGGAUCCAUCUGUGCUCUCACACCAGCCUGUUUACCCACUCCCCCUUGAAAAAACGAAUUUCCCCCUCGUGAGGCCUUGAAGUCUGGAAGGGUGUUGUCUACAAUAAAGAGCGCGAGUCAAGAAAGCA